CGAGUCGGCAGGGCGGCCGCGACGAUUCGAAAGAAAGUCGAGGAAAGUCCGGACUCCACAGGGCAGGGUGGUUGCUAGCGGCAACCCGAGGUGACUCGCGGGACAGUGCCACAGAAAGCAAACCGCCUUGGCCAACGGCUGAGGUAAGGGUGAAACGGUGGUGUAAGAGACCACCAGCACCCCGGGUGACCGGGGUGGCUAGGUAAACCCCACCCGGAGCAAGGCCAAGAGGGCGCCCGCGGGCGCCUGCGCAGGCGAUCGAGGGCUGCCCGCCCAAGCCUGCGGGUAGGCCGCACGAGCCUGCCGGCAACGGCAGGCCUAGAUGGAUGGCCGCCGCCCGGGGCGACCCGGGUACAGAAUCCGGCUUACAUGCCGACUCGUCCG
rnacentral:RNase_P_RNA from 1 species